UGACCUCAAAUCGGGUGAGACUACCCGCUGAACUUAAGCAUAUCAAUAAGCGGAGGAAAAGAAACUAACAAGGAUUCCCCUAGUAACUGCGAGUGAAGCGGGAAAAGCUCAAAUUUAAAAUCUGGUGGCCUCUGGUCAUCCGAGUUGUAAUUUAGAGAAGCGUCUUCCGCGCUGGACCAUGCACAAGUCUCCUGGAAUGGAGCGUCAUAGAGGGUGAGAAUCCCGUCUUUGGCAUGGAUGCACCAGGCUAC
rnacentral:rRNA from 1 species